rnacentral:tRNA from 1 species
UAUAUUUUGGUGUAAGAUGCACAAAGAGUUUUGAUCUCUUAAGUUAUAGUUUAAAUCUAUAAAAUAUAA